AGCUCAGGGCUAAUCUUCCUCACGGAAAAAAAAAAAAGUCCAAGAUUAAAAAUGAAUAGUUUUCACAGUGGAAGGGCCUAGCCAGCCAGAUGAAUAAAGAUUGACACCAAUGUAUGUGAUAAUGAAUGUUCAGAGCACCAAAGAUAAACCGAAGUAUAUAAAGGGUUCAGAGAGAAACAAACCAACUAAAAAUCAACAAAUAAUAAAAAUAGCAUCAUCGAAAAGGAUAAGGGGUAAAAAUGCCAUUGAGCAUCUUGAUAGUAAUGCUAGAAGUCAGAAGCAAUGUGAACAAGGUCUUCAAAAUUGUGAAAGAAAAUUAUUUUUAGCUAGAAUUCUAUCUUGAGUCAAAUUCUAAAUCUAAAAUGAGGGUAGAAUAAAGCCAUAUUCAGAUAUGCAGCAUUUUAAUAAAUUGAUCUUCCAUCCAUUUAUACUGGAAAGCCACUGGGAAAUGUUACAUACCAAAUGUGCUGUAAAUAAGAAAAAAAAAGGACAUAAAUAUCAUGAAACAAUGGAAAUUUGUGAGAGCCAGGAAAUAUUUAAAGAAGGGGCUUUAGAGAAUUCCAUGGAUUAAGGGGUGUGCCAAGAUGCUUGAUGUACAGAAGACAGAGUGGGCAAACAUUCCAAACUCAGAAGGACAGAGGGUUCCACAGCGGAUGCAGAGGCAACAGAGGUAGGGAGAGGGCCAAUGGCUGAUGAUGAUGCGAUGUGCUCAACCCAUGCUGAAGUUUCAGAGCUGCGUGGCUUACAACAGAAGAAAAUCAGAAGUCUUUGCAACGGAGGCUGAUGCAUUUUUAGAAGCCAGAAGAGAGAAGACUUACUAGAUGGUUUUCAUUUUUGAUCAUUGAUCCUGACAUAAUAGAAUGUGACCUACGUAGAGAAGACAAAAGGCAGAAAUACAACACAACCAAAGAAUACACGCUGGAAAAGGAAUCACUGAAGAAAAACGGAUAGGAAGCAUAUCUCAUGUUUUUGUGUGUGCAGGCAUACCUCGGAGAUGUUGUGGGUUUGGUACCUGACUGCUGUAAUAAAGCUAAUAUCACAAUAAACCAAGUCACAUCAAUUUUUUGGUUUCUCAGUACAUAUAAAAGUUAUGUUUACACUAUACUAUAAAGUGUGCAAUAGCAUUAUGUCUAAAAACACAAUGUACAUGCCUUAAUUAAAAAAUCCUUAAUUGCUAAAAAAUAUUAACCAUCAUCUGAGCCUUCAGCAAGUCAUAAUCUUUUUGCUUUUGGAGGCUCUUGUGAAAAUGCGCUAUCUGCAAAGCAUAA
rnacentral:lncRNA from 1 species